rfam:Fukomys damarensis contig125052, whole genome shotgun sequence.
AAACAAUGUGGGUGUAACAUCUGUCAUCCCCUUGAUCCAUCAGGGUUGAUUGAGCUGAUCCGGCUGGUUAGGCGGGAGUCCUCUUUCUCUAUAUAUGUCCCUCCUGAAGCUGCCCAACAGAAGAGAACCAUUCUUCAGUCACAGGUGUACAAGUAACUGCUCUCCUGCUAAGACCUCCAAAAAUUUUGUGUCCCUGUCCCCUUGACUUACUAAUCUUU